AUGCUGCAGUUACAAAUUUCCUGCCUGAUCUUCGUAAUCAGAUGCUCCAGAAAGAACUACAAGAUUGUCGCCUCCCCGGAUGGUUCCUCCAGCUCUGACGUUUGUAGAAUCAAAGCUUUCGCUAUCCAGUCAUCACUCCCCACACGCAGGGAGCACAGAUGUUGUGUGGUUAGGAUCCUGGCCUUUUAUAAUUCCUUGGCAUUAGGAAUGGAUAAAAGGGAAAGCAAAAGUAUCAUGGGAUUGUGUGACUUUUGCUAAUAUUUUACUGGAAGUUAACUGCUUAUCCUUUGUCUGAGGGAAUUGAAUGAUCCACAGCCAUUCAGAGGCGCGAGGAGUGCCCAGUUAUAGUGAUGCAAACACUAUGAUGACAUUUCCUUCAAAGAAAUCUGUAAGUCUGUUUCUGUUUAAUUCUAUCAGCUAUUUUCGGUAAUAUUACGACUUAAACAUUUAGAUAUUUAUUGCAUGUGCCAUAAAUAUAUAUUGGUUGAAUUUCUGAACCUAAACUUGUGGUCAAGUGCUAAAAUCAAUAGGAUAUUAUUGACAUGAUGGCUGCAGAACUAUCUAUGAUAUACCAACAGGUCUGACUUUUGAAAGGAGAUAUGAACAUGUCCUCAGAAUAUUUUACAAGCAGAGAAAUUCAUAUAAAUACAAGGGAGUCCUUGCCCUCCCCUUUAUUGUAUAAAAAUGGAAUUAGCAAAUGAAGUACUUUUAUACGUAAUACAUUUGUAACAUAUAAAUGUAUAUAUAAUGCUACUAGGUUUUUCUAAGCACCAAGCAUGACAGCCAGCUGCAACCAGUAAAGUUGUGCAAACAUGAGCUCAAAGGACAAGAUCAGAAAGUGUCCCAGGAAACGUUGUUUCCUUUUUGAGAGAGCUGUGCACCAGUCAUGCACAGGGUACAUGACCCGAAAAGGGUUAAAUGAUGAGACCAUCAUUCUUUCAAAGCUGUUUUCCAUGAAUCUCUCUCUCUUUUUUUUUUUUUUUUUUGCUUUUUAGGGCCGUACCCAUGGCAUAUGGAAGUUCCCAGGCUAGGGGGCCAAUUGGAGCUACAGCUGCCUGCCUACGCCAGAGCCACAGCAAUGCCAGAUCCAAGCCGCGUCUGCGAACUACACCACAAGUCACGGCAACACCAGAUCCUUAACUCACUGUUGGAGGCCAGGGAUCAAACCCGCAACCUCAUGGAUUCUAGUCAGAUUCGUUUCUGCUGUGCCAGGAAUCUCCUUAUUUUCAAACAGUUUGGCACUGUGUGACUCUUUCAAUAUGUGCAAGUCAAGACAUGAUCCAGGAAGUCUACCAAAAUGUUUAUACUAUUUAUUUAGCCUGUAGCCAGUCUUCCAAGGCAUUUACAAAGUGCUAUAAAUUCUUUAGAGGAUACCAAAAAUGAAAAACUUACAGGAAAGUUGUAGAAAAGGAUUAAAAUAUGCCAUAAAUAUUAGUUUCAUAUCUCUUAAAAAACCUGUUUUACCCUAGUCAUGUCACCUAACUUUGAAUUUGAAUUCAGACUUGGGUGCAAACAAUCAGUUUUUAUACUUCAAAACGUAAUCAUUUUUUAUGGCUACAGGAAAAUUAUUGUAAUGGGAAGAAUUUCUGAUAUGGGAGAAAAUUACUGCCAUUGUAAUAGUCUUAUUUGGAUUUAAGAGAUACCGAAGUUUAGGCUCUGUUCUUGACUUGUAUUUGGUUUAAACUCUUUACAUCUUUUAUAAAUAUCUUCAUGUAUAAAAUGGAAAAAGUAGUAAUUUCAACUUGUCUUUUGGAGCUCUUGUAAAAAUUAAUAAAAUAAAAAGUAGAAAAAUCA
rnacentral:lncRNA from 1 species